rnacentral:piRNA from 2 species
UGAUAACUGUGUACUUCUGGUGACUG